UACGAAGGGACUAGCGUUGUUCGGAAUUACUGGGCGUAAAGCGCGCGUAGGCGGAUCGCUAAGUCAGGGGUGAAAUCCCAGGGCUCAACCCUGGAACUGCCUUUGAUACUGACGGAUCUGGAGAUCGGGAGAGGUUGGUGGAAUUCCGAAGUGUAGAGGUGAAAUUCGUAGAUAUUCGGAGGAACACCAGAAGCGAAGGCGGCCAACUGGCCCGAUACUGACGCUGAGGAAGCGAAAGCGUGGGUAGCAAACAGG
rnacentral:rRNA from 1 species